CUCGAAGACUACGAGGUUGAUAGGCUGGGUGUGGAAGUUCAGUAAUGGAUGAAGCUAACCAGUACUAAUUGCUCGUGAGGCUUGGCCAUAUAACACCAAAGCAUUU
rnacentral:rRNA from 1 species